GUUCUAUCUUUGACAGCACAUAUACUAAAAUUGGAACCAUAUAGAGAUUAGCAAAGCCCAAGUGAAAGAAUAAUAUGCAAAUGAUAUAAUAUCCAUAUUUUC